rnacentral:rRNA from 1 species
GACGAACGCUGGCGGCGUGCUUAACACAUGCAAGUCGAACGGGCCCGCUCUCUUUUUUGGGGGUGGGUUGAGUGGCGAACGGGUGAGUAUCACGUGAGUAACCUGCCCCCUGCUCCUGGAUAACUGCUUGAAAGGGCGGCUAAUACGGGGUGUGCCGGCUGGUCCGCAUGGGCCUGGUCGGGAUAGUUUCAUCUUCGGGUGUUUCGGUGGGGGAUGGGCUCGCGGCCUAUCAGCUUGUUGGUGGGGUGAUGGCCCACCAAGGCGGUGACGGGUAGCCGGCCUGAGAGGGUGGGCGGCCACACUGGGACUGAGACACGGCCCAGACUCCGGCGGGAGGCAGCAGUGGGGGGUAUUGCACAAUGGGCGGAAGCCUGAGGCAGCGACGUCGCGUGAGGGAUGGAGGCCUUCGGGUUGUGAACCUCUUUCUCCGGUGGUGAAGGCCCUGUCCGUUGCGGCGGGGUUGACGGUAGCCGGGUAUGAAGCGCCGGCUAACUACGUG